GACGAACGCUGGCGGCGUGCUUAACACAUGCAAGUCGAACGGAAAGGCCCUGCUUUUGUGGGGUGCUCGAGUGGCGAACGGGUGAGUAACACGUGAGUAACCUGCCCUUGACUUUGGGAUAACUUCAGGAAACUGGGGCUAAUACCGGAUAGGAGCUCCUGCUGCAUGGUGGGGGUUGGAAAGUUUCGGCGGUUGGGGAUGGACUCGCGGCUUAUCAGCUUGUUGGUGGGGUAGUGGCUUACCAAGGCUUUGACGGGUAGCCGGCAUGGGAGGGUGGCCGGCCACAUUGGGACUGAGAUACGGCCCAGACUCCUACGGGAGGCAGCAGUGGGGAAUAUUGCACAAUGGGCGGAAGCCUGAUGCAGCAACGCCGCGUGCGGGAUGACGGCCUUCGGGUUGUAAACCGCUUUCGCCUGUGACGAAGCGUGAGUGACGGUAAUGGGUAAAGAAGCACCGGCUAACUACGUG
rnacentral:rRNA from 1 species